rnacentral:rRNA from 1 species
CGGAGGGAAACCGAGUCUUAACCGGGCGUUAAGUUGCAGGGUAUAGACCCGAAACCCGGUGAUCUAGCCAUGGGCAGGUUGAAGGUUGGGUAACACUAACUGGAGGACCGAACCGACUAAUGUUGAAAAAUUAGCGGAUGACCUGUGGCUGGGGGUGAAAGGCCAAUCAAACCGGGAGAUAGCUGGUUCUCCCCGAAAGCUAUUUAGGUAGCGCCUCGUGAAUUCAUCUCCGGGGGUAGAGCACUGUUUCGGCUAGGGGGCCAUCCCGGCUUACCAACCCGAUGCAAACUGCGAAUACCGGAGAAUGUUAUCACGGGAGACACACGGCGGGUGCUAACGUCCGUCGUGAAGAGGGAAACAACCCAGACCGCCAGCUAAGGUCCCAAAGUCAUGGUUAAGUGGGAAACGAUGUGGGAAGGCCCAGACAGCCAGGAUGUUGGCUUAGAAGCAGCCAUCAUUUAAAGAAAGCGUAAUAGCUCACUGGUCGAGUCGGCCUGCGCGGAAGAUGUAACGGGGCUAAACCAUGCACCGAAGCUGCGGCAGCGACGCUUAUGCGUUGUUGGGUAGGGGAGCGUUCUGUAAGCCUGUGAAGGUGUGUCGUGAGGCAUGCUGGAGGUAUCAGAAGUGCGAAUGCUGACAUAAGUAACGAUAAAGCGGGUGAAAAGCCCGCUCGCCGGAAGACCAAGGGUUCCUGUCCAACGUUAAUCGGGGCAGGGUGAGUCGACCCCUAAGGCGAGGCCGAAAGGCGUAGUCGAUGGGAAACGGGUUAAUAUUCCCGUACUUGGUGUUACUGCGAAGGGGGGACGGAGAAGGCUAUGUUGGCCGGGCGACGGUUGUCCCGGUUUAAGCGUGUAGGUGUGUGUUCCAGGUAAAUCCGGUUCACUUUAACACUGAGGCGUGAUGACGAGGCACUACGGUGCUGAAGUAACAAAUGCCCUGCUUCCAGGAAAAGCCUCUAAGCAUCAGGUAACAUCAAAUCGUACCCCAAACCGACACAGGUGGUCAGGUAGAGAAUACCAAGGCGCUUGAGAGAACUCGGGUGAAGGAACUAGGCAAAAUGGUGCCGUAACUUCGGGAGAAGGCACGCUGACACGUAGGUGAAGUGAUUUACUCAUGGAGCUGAAGUCAGUCGAAGAUACCAGCUGGCUGCAACUGUUUAUUAAAAACACAGCACUGUGCAAACACGAAAGUGGACGUAUACGGUGUGACGCCUGCCCGGUGCCGGAAGGUUAAUUGAUGGGGUCAGCGCAAGCGAAGCUCCUGAUCGAAGCCCCGGUAAACGGCGGCCGUAACUAUAACGGUCCUAAGGUAGCGAAAUUCCUUGUCGGGUAAGUUCCGACCUGCACGAAUGGCGUAAUGAUGGCCAGGCUGUCUCCACCCGAGACUCAGUGAAAUUGAACUCGCUGUGAAGAUGCAGUGUACCCGCGGCAAGACGGAAAGACCCCGUGAACCUUUACUAUAGCUUGACACUGAACAUUGAGCCUUGAUGUGUAG